ensembl:lncRNA
AGCAAGGCUCCGGCUGGACCGUCUCCGUCUCCCCAGCCGGCAUGGUGCCCCCUGCCCCUCCUGGUUCCGUGCCAGGCCAGCGCCCAGAGGCUGCAGCAGGAUGUGGGGUGGGGUGGGGGUGGAUUUCCUAAUACUAAUCCAGGGAGUGAGGAUGGAGCUGCAAGAGCUCCUGCCAGCCCAGAGUGGACUCAGGCCCAGGGUCUGCACGCUCCUCUGAUGAACUGGAGAGCGAUCAAUCAGAAAAGGGGGCCAGAGCUUCCGGAAGCACCCAGGAAAUGAAGACGAGGCACAGUGGAUUCUGUAGACAAAGUCAAGGUUUGAGGAUCCCAGAGGCUAGUCCCUGCCGCCCGUGCGGAGCCGACUGUCACAGUGAGAAGAGUGAGUGCGAGCGGCCAUCGCGUCCGCUUUCUGCCUCGUGCAUGCUGCUGGGGAGCUUCCCACGGAGACAGUGGCUCUGGGAUGUGGGUUCAGGUUCUUCUGAACCCCAAGCCCGAGUCGGAACUCAUGAUUCUUACGGGAGGAAUCAAGAGGUCUCCCACCACGCCACCAGCUUGAAUCUCUUCAUUCCGCAUACUGGAAGUGAAAGUCGCUCAGUCGUGUCCGACUCUUUGCAACCCCACGACCUAUACAGUCCAUGGAAUUCUCCAGGCCAGAAUUCUGGAGUGGGCAGCCUUCGCCUUCUCCAGGGGAUCUUCCUGACCCAGGAAUCAAACCGGGGUCUCCCGCAUUGCAGGCGGAUUUUCAGAUUGGAAAGAACCCUAUGAUUCUGGGAGUGGGUCUGGGGCACCCCGGCUUGGAGCCCCCAUCCAGUCAGGAGGGGAGGGCUGCAGCCACCUGCAUCCUGAGGACCAAGAUCAGAGUCCUGCAGCCUGGACGCGCUCGCACCCUCACCAGCUGCCCAGGAGCAGCCCCAUCACACCUUGGCGUGGGGGCUGCACAGUGCAAGCUGGCCCGGCCCCCAGCGCCCCGCGGCCGGGACCCUGGCCUCCUCUGCCUGCUCUGCCCGCACCAGCUUCCAGCAGCAGCAGGAAGCCAGCCUGAGCCUCCGCAGACCCACCUUGUGAGAAGUCACACCCAACUGCCGUCAAAGCUUUCUCUUCGUAGAUAAACUCAUUUGUCUCAUAUUUUAGAUCCCACAUAUAAGUGAUAUCCCCCGGUAUUUGUCUUUUUCUGACUAUCUUCGCUUCGUAAGAUCCCCUCUAGGUCCUUCCUGGUUCCUGCAAAUGACAUGGUUUCAUUUUUGCGGCCAAGUAGUGUCCCCCUGCACGUGUGGACCGCAGCCUCACCCAUCCCUCUCUCGAUGGGUUUUAGGCUGUUUCCAUGUUGGCUAUUGUGUACAGUGCAGCUGUGGAAGUUGGGUACAUGUCUUUUUGGAUUCUGGCUUUCUCAGGGUGUAUGCCCAGGAGUGGGAGUCCUGGUUGUGUGAUAACUCUGCUUUUGGAUUUCUGAGGAGACUCCAUACUGUGCCCACAGUGGCUGCACCCACUCACAUUCCACCAACCAACAGUGGAGGAGGGGCCCUUUCCUUUAUAC